rnacentral:rRNA from 1 species
GACGAACGCUGGCGGCGUGCCUAAUACAUGCAAGUCGAGCGGACGGAUGGGAGCUUGCUCCCAGACCGUCAGCGGCGGACGGGUGAGUAACACGUGGGCAACCUGCCUGUAAGACUGGGAUAACUCCGGGAAACCGGGGCUAAUACCGGAUAACUCUUUCCCUCACAUGAGGGAAAGCUGAAAGAUGGCAUCUCGCUAUCACUUACAGAUGGGCCCGCGGCGCAUUAGCUAGUUGGUGAGGUAACGGCUCACCAAGGCGACGAUGCGUAGCCGACCUGAGAGGGUGAUCGGCCACACUGGGACUGAGACACGGCCCAGACUCCUACGGGAGGCAGCAGUAGGGAAUCUUCCGCAAUGGACGAAAGUCUGACGGAGCAACGCCGCGUGAGUGAUGAAGGUCUUCGGAUCGUAAAACUCUGUUGUCAGGGAAGAACAAGUACCGGAGUAACUGCCGGUACCUUGACGGUACCUGACCAGAAAGCCACGGCUAACUACGUG